CAUAGGCCGGGUGAGACUACAGCGCGUGCGCGGGUUCCGGAGCGCCACGCGCUCUUCUUUCCUUUGCUCCCCCUUUGGGAGGCAGGCUCCGCCCGAUCCCUGGUUAUGCGCGUGCGCCCCGGAAUCGCUUCCCUUCCCAGGCCUGGGUUCGCGUCCUUGAGCUCCCGCCUCUUCGCUGUCGCUCCGCACGGGGACUUCACGUGCUCCAAGGCCGCCGCGGAGGCGGGGUCUGGUCGGGUCGCCUUUUCGAGGGCGCAGGGGAAAACACUUCUUUCCCAUAUCAGAUGUUUCUUGAAGUAUAAAGUGGGUGCCACUAUCAUAACUCUCAAUACUCUAUUCCAGUGCUACUAGCAAGUUUCCUGAUGGGGCAUUCUGGGAACAAAAUCUACACUUUUCCAGUGACCCCAGGAGAUCCCACAAAAGAGGUGAACAUUGUAUUGGAGAAGUGACCUUAUGAAGGUGGGAGCAGGACUUCCCUGACUGCUGACUUCUUACCCAAGACCUCGAAUCCUCUGCCCCCAGAUUUUCUAAUGCCUGAGUAUUCUCAUCACUCAAGACUCAGCUCAAAUAUUCACCCCUCAGAGAAGCCUUACCCUGAGGAGUAAGGUACCGAAGAAUGAGCAAGGAAUAGUAUCAAGUACCAGUCCUUAUGGAUUUCCAGUCUAAUUGUCAAGGCAGGCAAUAAAUGGACAGUUAUGAAUAAAUGUCAAAAGUAUUCUUUUUAGGUUAGUUCCAGGGUGAUAUGGGAGGACUUAGAAGGGAAACAGCCUUGGGAGACUGAAGUGAGUUUCUCAGAAAAUGGGGUGUUUUAGCUGAGCUCUGAGGAGUUAGCCAGGCAGAACAAGAAUGGCAUGGGGAAAAGGCACUGCUGGCAGAAGCUGCAGCCUAAGCAAAGGUCUUAGAACCUGGAGAAAGCAGAGCUUUCUAAAAACUCCAAGUAUUUCACUGUAGCUGAAGUAGAGUUUGAGUUUGGAGUAGGGUGGGGUGAGAAGGCUGAUGGUAACACCCACGGACGUAGGUUUGGACUUUAUCCUGAUAAGAAGUAAAAGGGAGCCAUAGAAAAGUUUGUGUUUUGGUGGAGGGGUGGAGUUCUCAUCUUUCACAUUGCCGGAGUACAGCCAAUACUUUGCAUUUCUUACCACGAACAUCUUGGUAAAGUCCACACUCCUUUUCCGUGAACACACGACCCUUCCUCUGGUCACCCUCAGCCUGAUACCUGCUGCUCUCCAUUGUGCAUUCUGUACUCCAACCUGCCAAACAUCUCAGUUUCCAGAUUCACUCCCCAAUCUUUAAUUAUGCUUUUGUACCCUCCAUUCCUGCUAGCACCCUCACCCACCCCACUUCCAAAAAGUUAUUGGAUUAUUCUUCCAAACUAUAAAAGCAAUACAUGUUCUUUGCAACAAGCCAAAUGACACAGAAAUGUGCAAAGAAAAAGUUAAAAUAUUCUUCUGUCCUCUCACCACCGAACACACGUACAUGUACAGUGUGCUUAAAAUAUUUUUAUGCUCUAAAUGUUCAAUUAUAUUUAAUAAAUGCUAUAAGAUAUUUUUAAAGAUUUAUUUAUUUUAGAGUGAGAGAAAGAGAGUGAGAUCAU